rnacentral:rRNA from 1 species
GGCGGCGUGCUUAACACAUGCAAGUCGAACGAUGAACCACUUCGGUGGGGAUUAGUGGCGAACGGGUGAGUAACACGUGGGCAAUCUGCCCUUCACUCUGGGACAAGCCCUGGAAACGGGGUCUAAUACCGGAUAACACUUCCACUCUCCUGGGUGGAGGUUAAAAGCUCCGGCGGUGAAGGAUGAGCCCGCGGCCUAUCAGCUUGUUGGUGAGGUAAUGGCUCACCAAGGCGACGACGGGUAGCCGGCCUGAGAGGGCGACCGGCCACACUGGGACUGAGACACGGCCCAGACUCCUACGGGAGGCAGCAGUGGGGAAUAUUGCACAAUGGGCGAAAGCCUGAUGCAGCGACGCCGCGUGAGGGAUGACGGCCUUCGGGUUGUAAACCUCUUUCAGCAGGGAAGAAGCGAAAGUGACGGUACCUGCAGAAGAAGCGCCGGCU